rnacentral:lncRNA from 1 species
AAAUAAUCAUGAAAAUUGCAUGUUUAUGAUAAACAAAAUGAUUUUGAUUAAAAAUACCUUAUGAAAUCAUGCUAUAUGUGGUUGAGAAGUAAUAAUGUGUAUCAUGUUGAUUUCCAUUGUUAUUUCUCGAUUUUGAGUAUAUGAAAUCAUGUUUAAUUUGAAGUUAUGAUUAAUGAGUAUAUAUUUUUGAAAUUAUGAUGA